CUGCGUUUCGUGCGUUUGGAGAACGUUCUGAUCCUCACUCCACACUACAAGGUAGGCAAUAAAUGUGUUUCCAAACUUUUAAAUACAGCUUAAAUAGUUUAAAAUCUGGAAAUAUGUGAAUGAGUGCAUAAUAAAUUAGGUUAUUCCCAUAUUUCAACAUAACUUUUCAGAAAACUUGUAAUGUUAAUUACAAAGACAACUAAGAAUUUAUUUAAUACAAUUUUUGUAAGUAAUCAACUGUCACAUUUUCAAGGUGAUAUCUUUGUUAAACUUUUAUCAUGUGUAGUGUUUUAGGAUGAAUUUUAUUUUUAGUAUAUUAAUUGUGCAAUGAAUUACGUUUAUCAGACAUGGCGUCGCCAAUAAAGUUCCCCAAGACAGAGGACAAAGAUAUACAAGAAAUACAGAGGGCUUGUCAACUACUCAGUUAUGCUUGCCAAGACUCUGCAGUACCAAGGGACCAACUCUAUAAACAGAGCCUGCAAACCCUGGACAACACCCUUAGCAUCUUGACCAUAGAACGGAGGUUGAGAAGGGCAGGGGAGCAGCAGAAUUAAUUUCUUCAAAAGAAUAAUGAAGAAUUGAAACAAAAAAAUGGAAGUGCUGCAGGCUUCUGCCAGCUUUGCACAAGAUGACACUACUGAGGCCAGCACCCAAACUGAGGAGCAACCUUAAAUUUGUGUGUUCAUGUUUCAGUUAUUGUUCUUUUGUUCUGCAUUUUUA